GACGAACGCUGGCGGCGUGCCUAAUACAUGCAAGUAGAACGCAGUUGCGAACGGGUGAGUAACGCGUCGGUAACUGCCUGGUAGCGGGGGAAUACUAUUUGAAACGAUAGCUAAUACCGCAUACUACAAGAUGGACCUGCUUUGUCUUAGCUGGUUGUGGGGGUAACGGCUCACCAAGGCAACGAUACUUAGCCGACCUGAGAGGGUGAUAGGGCACACUGGGACUGAGACACGGCCCAGACUCCUACGUGAGGGAGCAGUAGGGAAUAUUCGGCAAUGGACGCAAGUCUGACCGAGCAAAGCCGCGUGGGUGAAGAAGGUUUUCGGAUCGUAAAACUCUGUUGUUAGGGAAGCGGUAUCUGGCCAGAAAGCCACGGCUAACUACGUGCCAGCAGCCGCGGUAAUUC
rnacentral:rRNA from 1 species